UGCAGUCGUACGAGAGUUUUUACUCAAGUGGCGGACGGGUGAGUAACACGUAAGAAUUUGCCUUUAGGAGGGGGACAACAACUGGAAACGGUUGCUAAUACCCCAUAUGCUUUCGAGUGAAACGGUUUUUCCGCCUAAAGAGAAGCUUGCGGCUGAUUAGCUUGUUGGUAGGGUAAUGGCUUACCAAGGCGACGAUCAGUAUCUGGUUUGAGAGGACGAUCAGACACACUGGAACUGAGACACGGUCCAGACUCCUACGGGAGGCAGCAGUGGGGAAUUUUCCGCAAUGGGCGAAAGCCUGACGGAGCAAUACCGCGUGAGGGAGGAAGGCUCUUGGGUUGUAAACCUCAAAACUUAGGGAAGAAAAAAAUGACGGUACCUAAUUUAAGCAUCGGCUAACUCCGUGCCAGCAGCCGCGGUAAUACG
rnacentral:rRNA from 1 species